AAAAUGGGCUGUAAGUUUAAAAAUAAAGCUACCACACGAUUGAUACGUAAUCAAAGUUCUAAGAAAAAUUAAGGUUGUAAGUCGGACUUACAGCCCAACCAAUCAUGCACUUAGUUUGGUCCGUUUAAAGAUUUUUUUUUUUUAAUUUAGGACCGCUCUUGUGAUUGAAAUAUAAAUAGUUCACUAAUCACCAUGAGUUAAAU
rnacentral:sRNA from 1 species